rnacentral:lncRNA from 1 species
CAGUAGGCUUUGAAUCUGCGCAGGCUGGUCUGGAUCCAUGUUGGUCGCAAAUGCGCUAUGUUGGUUUAUCAUGGUGCGGCUCAUUUGAUUGAAAUGUAUUGCUUAAAUAUGCAGUAUCAUGCCCAGUAUAAAGUAACAGAUGAACUACCUUCAUAUAUAGCAAAAGAUUUACACAUUGCAUAUCAUAUGUAAUAUAGGAAAUAUGUAUAUGAAUCCAAAUAAAUUGAUAAAAAAGAUACGUUUUUAACAUUCGUGUGAUUGGUGAAUCUAGAAUAAGAGGAAUAGCUAUUUGUUUGCUAUUUCAUUUUUGAGAAAGCAAAGGAUCACAAAGAGUUUUUUUU